GACGAACGCUGGCGGCGUGCUUAACACAUGCAAGUCGAACGGUAAGGCCCUUUCGGGGGUACACGAGUGGCGAACGGGUGAGUAACACGUGGGUGAUCUGCCCUGCACUUUGGGAUAAGCCUGGGAAACUGGGUCUAAUACCGGAUAGGACUACGCGAUGCAUGUCGUGUGGUGGAAAGCUUUUGCGGUGUGGGAUGGGCCCGCGGCCUAUCAGCUUGUUGGUGGGGUGAUGGCCUACCAAGGCGACGACGGGUAGCCGGCCUGAGAGGGUGUCCGGCCACACUGGGACUGAGAGACGGCCCAGACUCCUACGGGAGGCAGCAGUGGGGAAUAUUGCACAAUGGGCGCAAGCCUGAUGCAGCGACGCCGCGUGGGGGAUGACGGCCUUCGGGUUGUAAACCGCUUUCAGCACAGACGAAGCGUAAGUGACGGUAUGUGCAGAAGAAGCACCGGCCAACUACGUG
rnacentral:rRNA from 1 species